rnacentral:rRNA from 1 species
GCGAACGCUGGCGGCGUGCUUAACACAUGCAAGUCGAACGGAAAGGCCCUGCUUUUGUGGGGUGCUCGAGUGGCGAACGGGUGAGUAACACGUGAGUAACCUGCCCUUGACUUUGGGAUAACUUCAGGAAACUAGGGCUAAUACCGGAUAGGAGCUCCUGCUGCAUGGUGGGGGUUGGAAAGUUUCGGCGGUUGGGGAUGGACUCGCGGCUUAUCAGCUUGUUGGUGGGGUAGUGGCUUACCAAGGCUUUGACGGGUAGCCGGCCUGAGAGGGUGACCGGCCACAUUGGGACUGAGAUACGGCCCAGACUCCUACGGGAGGCAGCAGUGGGGAAUAUUGCACAAUGGGCGGAAGCCUGAUGCAGCAACGCCGCGUGCGGGAUGACGGCCUUCGGGUUGUAAACCGCUUUCGCCUGUGACGAAGCGUGAGUGACGGUAAUGGGUAAAGAAGCACCGGCUAACUACGUG